rnacentral:rRNA from 1 species
GCGCGAAAACUUUACAAUGCUGGCAACAGCGAUAAGGGAACCUCGAGUGCCAGGUUACAAAUCUGGCUGUCGAGAUGCCUAAAAAGCAUUUCAUAGCAAGGGCCGGGCAAGACCGGUGCCAGCCGCCGCGGUAACACCGGCGGCUCGAGUGGUAACCGUUAUUAUUGGGUCUAAAGGGUCUGUAGCCGGCCGGAUAAGUCUCUUGAGAAAUCUGGCAGCUUAACUGUCAGGCUUUCAGGAGAUACUGUCUGGCUCGAGGCCGGGAGAGGUGAGAGGUACUUCGAGGGGUAGGGUGAAAUCUUGUAAUCCUUGAAGGACCACCAGUGGCGAAGGCGUCUCACCAGAACGGACCUGACGGCAAGGGACGAAAGCUAGGGGCACGAACCGGAUUAGAAACCCG